rnacentral:rRNA from 1 species
AGAAUCAACGCUGGCGGCGUGCCUAACACAUGCAAGUCGCACGAGAAAGGGAUUUCGGUCCUGAGUAAAGUGGCGCACGGGUGAGUAACACGUGAAUCAUCUACCUCCGAAUGGGGAAUAACUGAGAGAAAUCUUAGCUAAUACCGCAUAAUACCUACGGGUCAAAGCAGCAAUGCGUUUGGAGAGGAGUUCGCGGUCGAUUAGUUAGUUGGCGGGGUAAUGGCCCACCAAGACGAUGAUCGAUA